UAUCCUUGCAAUGGGCAGAGACACCGAGUUGAUGGUGUUUUUAUAGCAGUCAGAGACAGAGCAAAUGGCAGUCUCUUGUUCAUCCUAGCGUGUUGCCUGGCUUGGUGGUCAAAGCUGUUUUAUGCUUAAGACACAUUA
rfam:Mus musculus chromosome 4, GRC primary reference assembly.